CGCGGGGUGGAGCAGCACGGUAGCUCGUCGGGCUCAUAACCUGAAGGUCGCAGGUUCAAAUCCUGUCCCCGCAACCA
rnacentral:tRNA from 1 species